CUUUCAAAAGCUUAUUACAGGCUGUAGUUUUUUGUUCAUUAGCUGUAACAGCUUUUUAAUGGCUUGCUUGAUCUAAAGUAUAAGCUAAGCCUUUGAAAGAUGGCGACUCGAAGCAGGAAAGGAUAAAGUUGUGGCUUUCUGUGUUUGGCACUCCUACCUCCCUGCUCGCCUGGUGGAUGUGUCUGCCUCAUAUCACCCUUCAGAAGACAGGGAGCUCAUUGACUGCAGCCAAGCUCCAGCAACACAGUUUUUGCUACAGUCCAUGGCAGUGCAUACCAUGGGAGAUGGAGAGGAGGACCCCAGCAGACCAGCAAAUGGCUUCUGGAUUGCAAGACUAUAUGUGUUGCUCAACUACAUUCAAAACAUGAUAUGGCCUUGCUGUUUGAUUUUGGUCGGAUUACUCAAGUACCUAAAGAUAAGUACACUAGUAAGCUUUAAUUGGAAGAUGAGGAAUUUAUAGGGCCUACAAAUGUUGUUGAGUCUUUCCCUGCAAAUACCAUUGGGUUUAUUUGAUUUAACUUGUCAAAAGCAGAACAGAAUGAUUAUUUUCCUCAUCAAAAGCCUGGCCCAGGCAGCUCAAGGACUUUAAAAGGGGCAUGACAGAUGCAAAAGAAGAGGUAAUGUAUGAGAUGCUGUUUGCUAUCAGGAAAGUGUAAAGUAAUGCACAUCAGUUCAAGAAAUCAGAUGUUAACACUGGAAAAGAAGGUGGAAAAAGAAGAAAAGAGCCAUAAAAGCAUUCUGUAAAAGGAAAACUAACUUGCCAGAACUAUAGGAAAUGGGAGGCAGGCUUCCCUCUUCUC